rnacentral:rRNA from 1 species
CCUACGGGGGGCAGCAGUGAGGAAUAUUGGUCAAUGGCCGUAAGGCUGAACCAGCCAAGUCGCGUGAAGGAAGAAGGAUCUAUGGUUUGUAAACUUCUUUUAUAGGGGAAUAAAGGUAUCCACGUGUGGAUGUUUGCAUGUACCCUAUGAAUAAGCAUCGGCUAACCCCGUGCCAGCAGCAGCGGUAAUACGGAGGGUGGGAGCUUUAUCCGGAUUUAUUGGGUUUAAAGGGUGCGUAGGUGGUUUUUUAAGUCAGCGGUGAAAGUUUGUGGCUAAACCAUAAAAUUGCCGUUGAAACUGGAAGACUUGAGUGUGUUUGAGGUAGGAGGAAUGCGUGGUGUAGCGGUGAAAUGCAUAGAUAUCACGCAGAACACCGAUUGCGAAGGCAGCUCACUAAGCCAUAACUGACACUGAAGCACGAAAGCGUGGGGAUCAAACAGGAUUAGAUACCCCUGUAGUC